GUCACUCGGUGCUCUCAGUGUUCUGAUGGAGCACAGUAGGGAGAGUCUUGACAGCUGCCAUUUCAGGAGCAAACAUCUGGAUUCAAAGCUGAGAGCCUACCACUGUAAGGAUGCCAGGACUCUACCUACGCCGGGGACGUCAGUGACAUUAUAGGACCUCUUCUAUUAAAUCUACCGGCUCAAUGACUGACCACAUGGCUCCAGUUGAGGAGACACCUGCACACACGGAGUAUGAUCUGUAUGCUGCUUCUCAUUUAUCUUAAAGCUGCAUGGAAUAUAACUAACCUAUUUAUUCACAUUUUACCCAGCAUUUUGAGCAAAUGAACCGCAAGGUCACAAAAGUGGCUGCCAGCAGGUUAUAUGACCGUGUGUCCUUCCACAAUCUGUCUGUAGUCUCCUCUCAGUAUCAGGUGUUUAUUGCGGUGUUAGCAGUACUUUUUUUAACAACAAAGUGCUGCAUUGGAUGUUGGUGACAGGACUUUAAAAGUAGAUGAGGAGCAAUUACAAAAUAUCUCCUCCUCCUCUUUGACAUGACUUCAUCUGGUGGCGCCACAGACAGCUGCCUUGGUCGCCUUCGGCUAAGAUCGGUCCUGUACCUGAGGGAUAUUAUAUAAAUGGCUGUACCAGCCUUCUGAACUCUAAGCAGUUUCUGAGUUUUUUUUUAAAAUUUCGCUCCUGUCACAUUUUUACGCACUCUGGGAUCAUUUUUCACCUUAAUGCCAAGUCCUGGACCUCUAUGGAAACAGCAGGGCCAUGAUAAGACAUAGAGAACUCAAAAAUGUCUUAUAUCAUAUAAAUUUCUACAGCACCAAAAAAGAAAGUUUAAUUACUCUAUUUAUUUUACAAAAAAACCCAAACUUGAAAUAAAAAUGUAAAACAUUUUUACAAAUGCUCACUGAGUAGAAAUAAAGACUAUACAGUACUUUUUGAUAGUGUUUUCAUACUUGUCUCUUUGCUCUGCUUAAACACUGCCUGCAGUUAAACCAAAAAGUCCAGCUGCAUUGAACAGCGCAGCAAUUUUACUUUUUUCAAACUCUAGUUAGAUUAAUCACUUUAUUGUUGACAAAUUUUAUCAUGAAACAUUUAAAAAUAAAGACAGUUUUGUCACGUUCGAAGCCUCAAACUCUAGGUAGCGGCAAUAUUCUCCCUUCCCCUCUCCUUUCCCUUUUCCUAGAUUGAGAGAGUGCAGGUGACCCUGCGGCAACAGGUGUGUGGGAUUUCCAAUCAGCGGGAGCAGCGCGCGAGCAGGUGGGAGUGAUGCAAUCAGCCACUUCCUUCAGAUAUACAGACAGACGCCACUCACUACAUGACGGCUGACCAUGAACGAUCAACAUGUGAACUCCCAGAUGUUAGUGUUACCCCUGGAACCUCCAACACCAAACCCCUGGCGUCAGCUGUCCCUAUAGUUUUCCUGGAACCUCAUUCACCCACCUCGUCUCCAGAUCAUUCCUGCCCUGCUCCACCCCAUCUUCUCCUCCAUUACUGCCCCGCCACAUGCCAAGACUACACCACUGCCUGUCCUGCAACGGCACUUCCCACACACCAAGGAUCUCCCUUGCUUCAUCCUAUGGACUCUCCACCCUGUAUUUCCCCAGCUAAGUCCCUUUGUAUCUCUGAGCCAGACUGGUAGAUUCAUUCUUCCUGUUACUCUAGGUUAGUAUUUCGUAUAUUAUUCUAUUGCUCAGAAAUUCCAAGUUAGCAUAGUGUGUAUAGUUCUAUUUGCUUGUUUUGGAGAUUAAUAUUCGGGUUGUUAGAUUAUCGCCCAGUUACCUCUGGUAAAUAUUCUCUUGUAUGUUUUCUAUCCUGAUAUUAGUUCUGCUAUUUCAGCCUUCCUGGGUGUUACCUGUCACGGGUUUAGUUUAGCAGUGCUUAGCCUUAGUAUUUUAUUUCCUGUCUGCCAGUCCACUAGAGGGCUCCAGUUCUCCUAGUCGCCUUAUAUCGUAAAGUAAAAGCUACAUUCUUCCUGAGUCUUUCUGAAGCCAUAACAAGUUUGAUCAAAUGUCACAAUUUUAAGCUUGAACUUGGUUAAUUUUCUCGACAGAACUGCACAUCGGAUGAAUAGUUGAAGGACCACUGGAAAGUAAGAAGAACUGAUAUUCUGUCCUUUUACAAUUUCUUGCCAUAAUAGAAUGUGCAAUAUAAAAAUAAUUAGCAAAUAAAUGCAUAAUAUCAACUGGUCCAGGUGGUUAAGAUGUUAUUAAAAGAUGGGUGACUUUAUUGUCAGGCCCAACAGGAGGUCCAUCAAUAUAAAACCCUGUGAUCAUGGAUGAAACCCCACUUGAAAUGAUUUACAAUUGUGCUUCAAUGCACCUGUGCCUCUAAAUGUGCCAAAUAUUCCAGACCAAACUGUAGAAAAUGUAUUUUAAAAAUAAGAAAUAAAAAAUGCACAAGA